UACGUAGGGGGCAAGCGUUGUCCGGAAUCAUUGGGCGUAAAGAGCGUGUAGGCGGUCCGUUAAGUCGGCUGUGAAAGUCCAGGGCUCAACCCUGGGAUGCCGGUCGAUACUGCCGGACUAGAGUUCGGAAGAGGCGAGUGGAAUUCCCGGUGUAGCGGUGAAAUGCGUAGAUAUCAGGAAGAACACCCGUGGCGAAGGCGGCUCUCUGGGACGGUACUGACGCUGAGACGCGAAAGCGUGGGGAGCGAACAGG
rnacentral:rRNA from 1 species